AAUGAUGUGCCUGAUAAAAGGACUAUUUUGAUAGAGUAGAUUAUACAAUAUUUUGUCAUCAUUA
rnacentral:tRNA from 1 species